rnacentral:rRNA from 1 species
CAGUCGCCGCGGUAAAACGUAGGGCGCAAGCGUUGUCCGGAAUUAUUGGGCGUAAAGAGCUCGUAGGCGGUCUGUCGCGUCUGGUGUGAAAUCCCGAGGCUCAACCUCGGGCUUGCAUCGGGUACGGGCAGACUAGAGUGCGGUAGGGGAGACUGGAAUUCCUGGUGUAGCGGUGGAAUGCGCAGAUAUCAGGAGGAACACCGAUGGCGAAGGCAGGUCUCUGGGCCGCAACUGACGCUGAGGAGCGAAAGCAUGGGGAGCGAACAGGAUUAGAUACCCCCGUAGUCCCUGUCUCUUAUAC